CUUCUUUCCCUUGCACUGUGCUCUCUCCUCGACUGGCUUCUCCCUUCACCGUGUGCCCACAGCACGUGCACGCUGACAAGGCCGCACUGGCUGUCGAUGACCCGGGCUCAGCGUGGGCAGCUCUGGCCAGCUGUCGAGGUGACCCGCGGUGGCACAGAUUCAAGAUUUUAGUGCAGAUGUCGGGAUUUGCAGUACUCCCUUACUUUCCUCAAGAUGACUCUACAGGGACAACAACAAGAAGGUGAGAAGGGAGAGUCUGACCUCAGGCAUCGGCGGCACUGAAUGGGAAGGCUGUGGACUGUUGAGGGCACUGAUCACGAAGGCUGCCUCCCGAGCUGGAAGCAGAGAAGCUCCAUCAAAAGCGGGGAGCUUUGGCGAGAG